rnacentral:piRNA from 1 species
UGGCUACUGCGACAAACUGCCACAAACCUA